rnacentral:rRNA from 1 species
CGUAGGUGGCAAGCGUUGUCCGGAUUUACUGCGCGUAAAGGGCGUGCAGGCGGUUUGUUAAGUCUAGGGUGAAAGCUCCCGGCUCAACUGGGAGAGGUCCUUGGAUACUGGCAGACUUGAGGAGAGUAGAGGAGAGUGGAAUUCCCGGUGUAGUGGUGAUAUGCGUAGAUAUCGGGAGGAACACCAGUGGCGAAGGCGGCUCUCUGGGCUCUACCUGACGCUGAGACGCGAAAGCGUGGGGAGCGAACCGGAUUAGAUACCCGGGUAGUCCACGCCGUAAACUAUGGACACUAGGUGUGGGGGGUAUCGACCCCUCCGUGCCGAAGCCAACGCAGUAAGUGUCCCGCCUGGGGAGUACGGCCGCAAGGCUA